rnacentral:rRNA from 1 species
AUGGGCGUCUUACCAUGCAGUCAGGGGGCCCGCAAGGGUAACCGGCGAACGGGUGCGUAACACGUGAGCAAUCUGCCUAGAUGUGGGGGAUAGCCGGCCCAACGGCCGGGUAAUACCGCAUACGCUCGUUUACCGGCAUCGGUGAACGAGGAAACUUUCGAGGCAUCUAGAGGAGCUCGCGGCCUAUCAGCUAGUUGGUGGGGUAACGGCCUACCAAGGCGGUGACGGGUAGCUGGUCUGAGAGGAUGGCCAGCCACAUUGGGACUGAGAUACGGCCCAGACUCCUACGGGAGGCAGCAGUGGGGAAUAUUGCGCAAUGGCCGAAAGGCUGACGCAGCGACGCCGCGUGGGGGAUGAAGCAUUUCGGUGUGUAAACCCCUGUUGCUCGGGACGAACAAGCCUUUUCGAGGGCUCUGACGGUACCGAGUGAGGAAGCACCGGCUAACUCCGUGCCAGCAGCCGCGGUAAUACGGAGGGUGCGAGCGUUGUCCGGAAUCACUGGGCGUAAAGGGCGCGUAGGCGGCCUGCUAAGCGUGUGGUGAAAGCUCGGGGCUCAACCCCGAGUCGGCCAUGCGAACUGGUGGACUAGAGCACUGUAGAGGCAGGUGGAAUUCCGGGUGUAGCGGUGGAAUGCGUAGAGAUCCGGAAGAACACCGGUGGCGAAGGCGGCCUGCUGGGCAGUAGCUGACGCUGAGGCGCGAUAGCGUGGGGAGCAAACAGGAUUAGAUACCCUGGUAGUCCACGCCGUAAACGAUGGGUACUAGGUGCUUGGGGGAGCGACCCCCCGAGUGCCCGGCGCUAACGCAUUAAGUACCCCGCCUGGGGAGUACGACCGCAAGGUUGAAACUCAAAGGAAUUGACGGGGGCCCGCACAAGCGGUGGAGCAUGUGGUUUAAUUCGACGCAACGCGAAGAACCUUACCCAGGCUUGACAUGUAUGAAGAAAGCCUCUGGAAACAGGGCCCCUCUUCGAGCUCAUGCACAGUGCUGCAUGCUGUCGUCAGCUCGUGUCGUGAGAUGUGGGUAGUCCGCACGAGCGCAACCCUUGUCUCUAGUACAGCGCGUAUGGCGGGACUCUAGAAGAGACUGCGUGCAAUCGGAGAGGUGGGGACGACGUCAGUCA